rnacentral:rRNA from 1 species
UACGUAGGGGGCAAGCGUUGUCCGGAUUUAUUGGGCGUAAGAGCGUGUAGGCGGCCAUGUAGGUCCGUUGGUGAAACUCGAGCUCAACCUCGAGACGCCGAUGGAAACCAUGUGGCUAGAGUCCGGAAGAGGAGAGUGGAAUUCCUGGUGUAGCGGUGAAAUGCGCAGAUAUCAGGAAGAACACCCGUGGCUAAGGCGGCUCUCUAGUACGGUACUGACGCUGAGACGCGAAAGCGUGGGAGCGAACAGG